rnacentral:rRNA from 1 species
UACGUGGGGCGCAAGCGUUAUCCGGAAUUAUUGGGCGUAAAGAGCUCGUAGGCGGUUUGUCGCGUCUGCCGUGAAAGUCCGGGGCUCAACUCCGGAUCUGCGGUGGGUACGGGCAGACUAGAGUGAUGUAGGGGGAGACUGGAAUUCCUGGUGUAGCGGUGAAAUGCGCAGAUAUCGGGAGGAACACCGGUGGCGAAGGCGGUUCUCUGGCCGUU